AAGAUUUUCAGCUGCAAUACCCUGAGAUUAAGAGACAACCCAGCUUCAAAAGUUUAAAACUUUAAACAAUUCUGAUAUCACAAAUAUGUUUCCCGUUCAUUGAUUCGAUUAAGACCCAGAAAAUUUCGAUUUUUUUUUUUAAAACUUCUAGCUUCAAGAGUCCAACAAAUAAGCAAACAUGAUCAAACCCAGAAAAACCCGAGAAGGCUACGAAACAGAUCGUAACUAGAAGAAAGCACUAACAUGCAUAAAUAUUCGUAAGCAAUUUCAAACACAGAUUAUGAAGGUUCAAGUACCUGCAACAAGUUGAAGGAUGAAA